UACGGAGGGGGCUAGCGUUGUUCGGAAUUACUGGGCGUAAAGCGCACGUAGGCGGCUUUGUAAGUUAGAGGUGAAAUCCCGAGGCUCAACCUCGGGUCUGCAGUCGAUACGAGCAAACUAGAGUGUUGCAGGGGAGACUGGAAUUCCUGGUGUAGCGGUGAAAUGCGCAGAUACCAGGAGGAACACCUGCGGUGUAGACGGCUUUCUGGACCAUUACUGACACUGAGACACGAAAGCGUGGGUAGCAAACAGG
rnacentral:rRNA from 1 species